GGGUCAAAAUACAUAAGGAUUGACUAGUCUGGCCCGCCGGACCAACCAUUUUUUUUGUGUGCCUGUGUAAUUAUACCCAAGUACUUUAAUCAAGAGGCAUGGUAGUGCCUCGCGCCAAGUGUAUGCGCAGCGAGGCACCACCGUGCUUCUUUUACGCGAGACGUCGUUUGCGAGAAGACCGUAGUUAUCGGAUCUCAAUAACGACUUAAUUGAUCGAUUUCUAAAUAGGCUUAAUGGAUAGCUUACAUCCGAUUUAUAUAAUAAAAGUGUUUUUAUUUUUCCGCUAUAUGACUUACGAGCGGAGGUAUCGCGAUUAGAAGUUUUCGCUCAAGAGUAAAUUUAGUUUAAGAAACGUCGUCAUCAUCAUCAUUAUUAUCGUCGUCGCCCGGCGCCUAGGACGAAUGGUGGGGAUUUGUACUGUUGUAUCCUCCUUUAUCUUUUGUGCUCACACAUUUGACAACAAGGAUGAACGAUGCACCAUGCGCCAUGAAACGGAACGCACCAUGUGUAUCGUGAUUGGUGAAAAUAAUCGAAUCCGCGCCGCCGCGUGUCGAUCGAGUGACAGUUCGAGGUUAGAGACGUGUUGACGUGUGCGAGGUUAGCGGCGAGUUAAUUUUUAUUAGUGUUAUGCAUAAUUAUGCAUAUUACAUCGUGGAGUACAUCGUGGAUUACAUUGUAGAGGGAAAUUUGCAUAAUCAGAUAAGUUAUACAGUUUUCAUUUUUUUAGAAUAAAUAAACUAUUCUGAGAUAAAAUUGAUACUUUGUGUUAUGUUUCCUUUUUUAGUUUAAAAGAAAGAGGAAGAAUUACAAAUCUUAUAAGCCAAUUCCAAAGAAGCUGAAGUUGACGGAAGAGCAGCAAGAAGCGUAUAAAAUCAUUAAUACUACAACCUUACUUACAAAGCUACUAGUUCUACGUUAUUUACAAAGCUACUAGUAUUGGAUAGUAAUGAUUUGUUCCAGUCAAAAUUUCUAUAUGUUUUAAAAGAAAGAGCAAGAAUUACAAAUCUUACACUGUCAAGGUGUAUCUUAAACUUAAACCAAUUUUAAAGAAACUGAAGUUGACAAAAGAGCAGCAGGAAGUGUACAAAUUCACUAAUUCUACAACAUUACUUACAAAGCUACUAGUUCCACAAUGUUACUGACAAAGCUACUAGUACUGAAUAGUAAUAAUUUGUUCCUGUUAAUACUACAAUGCUCACUAUUUAGUUUGGAUUUAAAAUU